rnacentral:lncRNA from 1 species
GGGAUUUUUAAUAGUAAUAAAUGUUGUGUACUGAUUAAUGUGAGGCUCCAUCAUCUGAUGCUUUGGAGAGUUUGAAAGCUUUCUAAUGAUUAUUUACUCAUGUGUUAUGUGUUAUGCAUACACAGCUCUGUGCAUGUGCUGGCUGUCACACGAUUUGCGUUUAUUUUAGAACGAUUAAUCCUCACAUGACACACUUAGAUGUGACAACUUUUCAAAAUGACCAAAAUGUAUAUGUCUAAGUUUCGAAAACAUAAUAUCAGGGGUUUUGUUUGCUGUUUAUGUUUAUCUAUCAGCUGUUAACUGUCGAUAAAAUUAUCAAACCUCAAAAAUAGUUUCCCCUAUCUCUUCCAUUUUCAG